UACGUAGGGUGCAAGCGUUAAUCGGAGUUACUGGGCGUAAAGGGCGCGUAGGCGGUUGUGUAAGUUGGAUGUGAAAUCCCUGGGCUUAACCUAGGAACUGCAUACAAAACUGCAUAGCUAGAGUACUGUAGAGGGUAGUGGAAUUUCCGGUGUAGCGGUGAAAUGCGUAGAGAUCGGAAGGAACACCAGUGGCGAAGGCGGCUACCUGGACAGAUACUGACACUGAGGCGCGAGAGCGUGGGGAGCAAACAGG
rnacentral:rRNA from 1 species